GAUCACCUCUCUUGGUGUUUUCUGGUGAGCUCAGCUGAAGGCAUUUCUUCUAGAUGCAUGUAACUGGCACGGACUGCAGCACAGGAAUUUCCAUAAGAAUGUAAGGAAGAACAUCUUUAUUGUGAGGGUGACACAGUGCUGGAGCAGGCUGCUGGAAAGGUGGUGGAGUCUUCUUUGGAGAUCAUCAAAACCUGCCUGCAUGCUUUCCUGCGUGAGCUGCUGUGUGGGGCUGGCCUGGACGAUGUCCAGAGGUCCCUUUUGACCCCUACAAUUCUGUGACACCCUCCCAUCAAGAAAGGAACAUACGAAAAGAAGAAAGAAGCAUGGAACUUCCAAAUUAUUUAAACAUUGUGCUGACUAAAAAGUAAAAAUAAAUAUAAUAAGCACAGAAGUAGGCUUUUUACACACAACUACUUAUAUAUUCAAGAUGACUGAGGAAGAAAUGAGAGCUGACAAAGGAUAAGAACAGGAAUCCAUCCACCCUGAUUUUUAUACAUCCAUAUACUGUCAAGACACCCUAGCAAAGUAUUAGGCAAAUACAUCACGUAUACUUGGAGCCUGUUUUACACCAAAAGCAAUUUUUGCUCCCUGUGUGCACCUCAACUAGAGCUGAUCAAACUCUCCUAGAAUGAGAUGGAGUUUCAUACAACAAAUGGUGUAUGCGCUCAUUCUUCUCUAGUCCUGAUGCUGUGUUCUGCGAAAGUGAAAUGCAGAAAACUGCUUUACAACAAACCACACCAUUUCCUAUCCAUUUUAAUUUCUUAAAAUAUUAGCUUGAUGCUUUGCAUUUAAGCACUGGGAAUCACAUUACUGUACAGGCACACAUAUCAUACAAGAAUCUGUAACUGCAACAGGUUGAGAGAUAACAGAACUGAAAAUAGGAAAGGGUUUCCUUUUCGUACCUUUAUAUAGCAAAUUAAUGAGUUAAAACAUUAAAUUAGAGAAAAGGUUUUCUUCCAUAAACUUCUAUAAAUACAGAAGAUGAAAAUUCACCUUCUGGAAACUUAAAUGCUUUUAAAAAAAAAAAAAAAAUAGAGAGAGCAGAAUCUUCUUUUAAGCUAGUAAGAGAUGUAAGACCAGCAGGGUAUAUGUCAACUGGAACAAUCUGUAUCAAAGAAGAUCCCAGGAACAUCAGAAAGAUACACAGGCUGGAAGACCUGGGCUCUAUGAUUUGUGUCAUCCCUGUAAGCAGAAUACUUGGCAGUACGUAAAGGCACUGGAUCGGGCGCGUGGCUGAUUACAGACCAGCAGAGCUCCGCAUUUCUAUAAGAAUACACUGAUUUUCAUUAAAUGAGGAUUUACAAUGUGGAACGUUACUCAAUGUAAAGAGCGGGUUCAAGGGCUGAAGUAAGCAGUACAGAUGUACUCAAGAUAGACGAAAGCCCUGAGAGAAAGACGUGUAUACAUGCUUGUCUGCAUGCCGCAGGAGUAUGUAAGCGCAUACAGCGUACUGUAAUUCUUUAGUUGUUUAUUCUUUCUUUAACUGUUCUGUUUCUCAGUACCAAAACCACCAUCUUAGCUGUAAGCAAAUUCAGUUAAUGAAUGCAUACUACGUUUGAAGGUAAGAUACCUUGUCUUCCCCUUUGCCACGUAACGGUAAUAUAACUAGAAUAGGCAAAGCGAAACUAUUCCCAUUUAAACCAGCACAAUUCAGACUAAAAUGUGUCCAUCAGGAAAUUCAUGACUAAAGCACGAUAAGCAUGAUCAUAAUCCUGUUCACAACCUCAUGAUCUUUUUCAUGUGACCGUCUCACACAAUACUACUAACACAUUACUUUGAAAUUUCAGUCAUGCAUGUAUAAUUGUGGUAUUCAGCUUUCAAUGGUACCUUUUCUCCACGUCCCAAUGGUUAAAAGUUUGUCGUCUAUGAUCAUGAUUCACUGCUCAAACUCAAGAGAUAAUCGUAUCACUUAUUUCACAAUCAAUUUAGUUUUAUUGAAAAUAGACAUCUAAUAAUAACCUUGGCACAAUAUUUUUAAGUCUAAGACAGUCUUUUUUAUCUUCUAUUUCAAUUCUUGCCUUACAGAAGAUGCUUACAAAAUAAACAUCUGUAUCCUAAAAAGUCUCUAAUAGAAGAACUGAUAAGAGUAGGUU